ensembl:ncRNA R90.11 ncRNA
CGGAAUUUCUAAUUAAAAAAAAGCACCCUUCUCGUUUGCAGUUUUCAGUUUUUUUUCCAACAUGCUCUAGAAUUAGGAAUUCACAUCGUAUUUGGUAUGGAGAGGCGAAAUUCAAGAAGCGUGAAGGCGAAACCCAAUAUGUUCUGGCGACUCAACUCUCCCGCCCGGCUGUCAAUUUAAUUGCUCCAU